rnacentral:lncRNA from 1 species
GGGUGCCUGGUACUGCAGGCUCUGCUGAAUCUGUCUGCAAGAUUUCCUCAGCCCAGCCCUGGGUCCAUUAGAAUUACCCACCAUGUGUCAGCUUUGAUAGACCUCACCCAGGAACAAUCAUAAAGAGAGAAGUGUGGCAAGCUCCUGCUUCAUAUCCCAGUAACCCACAGCCUGCCUCUGUGCACAUGACUCCCACAGACACAGUAAAACCUGAUUUAAGUGCCAGCAGAGAGAGACUGCUUGAAGCGGAACUUGGCACCAUGUUUCUUGGCCUCUCCAAAUCUGGAUUACAAUAGAUACCAUAAAUACAUAGAUUAAAUGCUUUCAUCUGAAAGCCCUGAUAAAUGGACUGCACCAUAUGCUGAGAUGGGAUUCUUGACAACAUCAGAUAAUCUCUUCAAAACUCCUUUGG